rnacentral:rRNA from 1 species
AGACCCGAAACCCGGUGAUCUAGCCAUGGGCAGGUUGAAGGUUGGGUAACACUAACUGGAGGACCGAACCGACUAAUGUUGAAAAAUUAGCGGAUGACCUGUGGCUGGGGGUGAAAGGCCAAUCAAACCGGGAGAUAGCUGGUUCUCCCCGAAAGCUAUUUAGGUAGCGCCUCGUGAAUUCAUCUCCGGGGGUAGAGCACUGUUUCGGCUAGGGGGCCAUCCCGGCUUACCAACCCGAUGCAAACUGCGAAUACCGGAGAAUGUUAUCACGGGAGACACACGGCGGGUGCUAACGUCCGUCGUGAAGAGGGAAACAACCCAGACCGCCAGCUAAGGUCCCAAAGUCAUGGUUAAGUGGGAAACGAUGUGGGAAGGCCCAGACAGCCAGGAUGUUGGCUUAGAAGCAGCCAUCAUUUAAAGAAAGCGUAAUAGCUCACUGGUCGAGUCGGCCUGCGCGGAAGAUGUAACGGGGCUAAACCAUGCACCGAAGCUGCGGCAGCGACGCUGAUGCGUUGUUGGGUAGGGGAGCGUUCUGUAAGCCUGUGAAGGUGGCCUGUGAG